AUGCCCUCUUCGGCAGCAUAUAUAUCAAAAUUGGAACAAUGCAGAUAUUAGCAUGGCCCCUGUCCAACUGAUGACAUGCAAACUCAUGAAGCAUCCCAUUCAGCG